rnacentral:lncRNA from 1 species
AGAAACAUCUAAAAAAUCUAAAAUUAAUGCUUUGGUUAUUCAUUGGGAUAUCUUACAGAUGCUCAGGAAUGGAGCAUGGGACCAGUGUAUGUCUGCUUUAGAGCCUCCGGUGAAGGACAAGUUGUCCAAAUAUCAAGUAUAAUAUUUUUCUGCUUACUUGUUUGGGUAUAGUCUGUCGUAGCUUGUGGGUUCUUCAGAAUGGUAAUUUUGUGGAUUGUCCAACCAUAUUGAAGCACAUGAUUCUUUGAAGCAAAGAUGAAAUCUGGUUCUUGAUUUGCCUUAGCAAAAGCAUCAGUGUUGCAUUUAUUCAGUUAAGCCUGCAGUCCAACCUGUACCUCUUCAAAAGCUUAAGAUCCAUAUCCUACAGCCUGGCAUCAUUUAUUUUCAGACAAUGAUGUAGCCAAGGAAGCGACAAAAGCAUUACUUAAUACAGUGGGGAGUGCAGUUCUCCAACUCGGGGCCUCUGAGGUUGUUUUAUCCAUUUAGUUUUUGUGAUUAAAAAACGGGUAAAAAGGUGUUGAUCUCAUUCUAGUUCCAAUAUUUGAUUCAUCAUUUUUGUCAUUUUCAUUCAUAUUUCCCCCUCUUUCCUACUUUAGUGGGAUAGGCUCGUCUCCAUUUCCACUGAUUUUUGUACACGUGGAUUCGACAUUCAUUGAUCCAUUGUUUGUUUGAGUAUUACAUAAUUUUGGAGGUCUGUAAGUUAAAAAUGGAGUUUAGGUCUUUGCAUUCAGCAGGUGUGGUAUUUGGUCUUCUUUGGAAACAAUAAGAUACAGAUGCAGUGGAUGUACGAUAUAACAUUUUAUUUUACUUUUUUUUUUUUUAAAGAAAAAAAAAGCAAUAGAAAUUGUUUCCUUGUGGGCAUUGGUGAGAAAUUUGGCAACAGCUUUGCAUUUUUUUCCUUGAUUCAGUAGGUUUUUUUUCUUAAUGUAAAAUAGGAAGUUGCCUGUUUUGAAGAUGGAUAUAAUCACAUCUAGUUUGUGUUUAUGGUUGGGUUUGUAAUUUGAUCACUUGAUGACCCUACCCUAUAUUUUACAUUAUAAGCAGUUUUAGAAAAUUGUAUCCAAAUAAACAAUUUCUUUAUACUGAGUUGUGUACGAGUUCUUGGAGUUUAUAAAGCAAAAUCAUACUUUGAUGCAUAUACAAAUUUUGAAGAUAUAAUUUAUUUUAAUAGCAAAU